UCGGCCAUGCUACAUUGAAAACACCGGUUCUCGUCCGAUCACCGAAGUUAAGCAAUGUCGGGCCAGGUCAGUACUUGGGAGGGUGACCACCUGGGAACACCGGGUGCUGUUGGCU